AACAGUGGCAGGAGGAGGAAAACGAGAGAAGAAAGGAGCCGACACAUCUAAACAAGCAGCCAGGGCACUGUGCAUACAGAUGUAAGGUCUUCUGGGGUCAGCUGGACUCAUAAGGCAGGAGGGACCUCAUCUUUCAGAGAAGGAAUGCCUAGAUUAUCAACAGAACUGUGCCCCAAGACCCAGAGAGACCUCCCUGCCCCAGUGCCUAUUAGAAUGACAAAAGGGGUGGACCCAAGCCCAGAUGACCAGGGCUCUGCCUGGAAGUGCCAGGCCAGGACCCUGGGUCUGUAGAGCCUCUGCCAUUGCAAAGGAUGAGCCAGAUGGAAAAAUUCAGCAUGGAGCUGUAUCCCUGAGCCAAGAGGGCACCCCCUUCCCCGUUGGGGGAGCGAUGGCUUGGGAACAAGCCCCCCGCCCCGUGCUCCAGUGCAUCUAGCUGCCUUUGGCCACCAUCCUGAAACAGCAGGGAGCAGGCUUCCUCUUUCCUCACACCCUGGAACCCAGUGAUUGCUGACCAGGAAGCAGAACCUUCCAAGGCUGCAGGCUUGCAUCCUGCCUCUCAGCCAAGACCUGUCUCCUCAGUCAUCUGAAACCACCCUACCACGCCAGACGCUCCCUCUGCCUUCUUGCUAUUCCAGCUCUCUCUUCUUCCCACUUCCUAUUUUCUCUCCAUUUUGUUCAAACUCCAUGAACAAGAACAACAGAGCUCAGACAGCGAAAGCCUCCCCAUCCCAGCUGUAUGCAAAUUCCCAGCAGGCUGAAAGGACCACCCGCCCACCCAAGACCACCUCCCAGGAAGCCGAGGCCUUGUGUGCAGCCCCAGAGGAGCUUGAGCUGAACGGAGAAUGGGUUGAGGUGGGUGGGACCCAUCACUGUUCUUCCCUUCUCAUUCCUGCGCGUUCCCUGAAGAGUCUCUGGGGCCUGCUUUUCCCCCCAGCAGAGACGGAUGUGUCACAUUUAUGGCAUCCCAUUUCCUUCACAGAGAGGCUAUAGAUCCUGUUUCAUUCUGGUGUAUUUAAUUCACUCCAUAGGAAUCAAUAAAAACUUUAAAUUAAAAAAAAGGCAAAAUCCAAUUGCUUCUCAUUUUCUUGA
rnacentral:lncRNA from 1 species